AAUUCACCUCCGUAAGAUCUACAUACCUCCAAAAUCCCUUCAAAUUGAACCACCCAACAAACAGAAUCCUAAAAAAACCAUCCACCUUAUCAAAUUUAACCCUAACAAAAACCCGCAGCAGCAGCAGCAGUUCCCAAUUAACCACCCAUUCCGAGAAACCCUCCGACAGCGAUUGGGAAUUUCCGGACGAAGUAAUCGGAGAAGAAGAUGGAGAUGAAGACGAGGGCAGCCCCUGGGAAGGCGCGAUUUUGUACAGGCGAAACGCCGCCGUUUCGCAUUUGGAGUACUGCACUACUCUCGAGAGGCUAGGGUUAGGAAAGGUAUCCUCGGAAUUCUCGAAGAACCGGGCUUCGGAGAUGGGGUUGCGCGUGGUGAAAUCCGUGAAGGAUUUUCCCGACGGAACUCCGGUGUUGAUUUCCGCAGAUGUUACUCGGAGGAAGCAGAAAUUGAGGCUCGACGGAAUUGUUCGAACUGUCAUUUCUCUUAAUUGCAACAGGUAUUUCCUUUUUUUUUUUUUUCUUCUUUUUUUUGUGCAGCAUUGAUUUAAUUGUGCUUGUGAUAUAUUUACAUUGUUUUUUUUUUGCUUAUAUAUUUAGUUCUUGUGGAUGUUUGAUUGCUGUAUUCAAUCAUAUGCUAUUACAAUUACGAUGAUCUUCGAAAGUUACGACGGCGGACAAUUGAAAACUAGUGCAUUUGAAAAAGCUAAGAGAUUUUUUUUAGGUUUCAACCGAACUUCGAGAAAUUAUCUUACGUAGAUCUAAUAACGCAAAUGAAUACUUGGAUUAAUGUAAUUUAUUUCACGUAUAGAGUACGUAGUAUAGUUAACUUGCUCGCAGUUAUUUGCCAUUGAUCGAUAAUCUAGAAUCGAACCAGCCACUUAAGAGUAUAAAUUGUUUAAUCGAAAAGAUAUAAAAGUAAUCAUUGUAUAUUUGUUUGGUUAGCAUUUGAUAAGAAUCGGAAGUGAAGGUAUCGUUUUUUUUGUGUGCUUUUUGGGCCUUAUAAGUUUUUGGCUUGUUAACGAUGUCACAUCGGAAUCAUUCAAUGUUAUAUGUCGCAAAUUUUAUUUAAAUCGAAAAAGAUGGGAUGGUAUUUGUUUUGCAUUGGAUCCCAUUAUUAUUGGGAGGAGAAAAAAAUCGGAUUGAUAUUUGGGCCUGAGUGUAUACAAAUAGUCGUUCCGAUGAGAAAUCUGCAUGUAGAUGGAUUUGGGCCUAAAUAAAGAAAACUUCAAAAAUUUUAAAUAAAAAUUUUAAUUUAUUUUCUUUCGAUUAGAAUACUCGUUCUGCUUAUCGUGCAACAUGCGAGACGAUUAAUUAGCCAAAAUGCUUGACUGUUCUUUUAUUUGUGUAACUCGAGUAUUUGUUUAAGUAAGUAAUUUAUCUUAAUUUACCAAUUUGUGAAGGUGUGGCGAACCAGCUGCGCAGAGUAUCUACUCCGAUUUCUCACUUUUACUGUGUGAAGAACCCCUCCAAGAAUCCGAAACCAUAAACUUGGGUACAAUUUUUGGAGACGAGAAAUUAAAAACCGUCGAAGCAGAAGACAGUGAUGAUAGCUUAAUCGAUUUAGACGAUCAGUUAUAUUUUCCUCCAGACGAAAAAGUGGUCGAUAUUUCGAAGAAUAUAAGAGACCUUAUACAUGUGGAGAUCACCAUUACAGCUGUGUGUGGUCCUAAUUGCAGAGGAUUAUGCCUCGAUUGCGGCGCUAAUCUCAACAUUAGUAAGUGUAUCUGCGGGAAGAAGAAGGUUCAGGAAAAAGGCUACGGUGGGCCCCUCCGAGAUUUGAGAGAGCAAAUGCAGCAAACAUAAAUUUCACUUUUUUUUUUUUUUUUUUUUUUUAAUUUUUAUUUUAAUAAUAAAAAAACAAUUAUUUGAGAAAUUUAUUUUUGUUGUAAAUAUUUUUAUUUUUAAGGAAUGGGAAAUGAAUCUGCAGGUUUGAGAGUGAUGAAUUUGCAUGCAGCACAUGGAAUUUUUUAUUUGCACAAGUCUGGAAUCUUUUGAAAGCUCAAUUUACCAGUUUUCUCAGCAAUGAUUGACUUGAAAAAUAUAUAUAUUGAUCACCCAUAAAAAUAUAUCUUUGUUGACGAGGGAAUAAAUGAAAUAGUUUUAUGUUCCUUUGUAGGUAUAUCUGUUGUUGUGGUGGUGGUUGUUGUUGUCGUCGUCGUCGUCGUUGUUGCUGUCGUUGUUGUUGUUGUUGUUGUAACAAAUAAUUUCGUGAGCAGCUUGAAGGCGAACCAAGAUCGAGAUCCAUAAUUUCGUGAGCAGCUUGAAGGCGAACCAAGAUCGAGAUCCACUGAGUUGUCUAGAAAUUAUAAAUUUAAUCAAAGAAAUCCUCACAAAAGAUAUACCUCAUAAGUAAAUUUACAAAAACUAAAAACAAAUGGCACGACUACAACAAACAAUCAACCAAUCAUAUAAAAUUACAUCCUACAAUAUACCAAAAGUAAUCAAUAAUUCUAAAAAAAAUACCAUAAGCAAUGAUUGGUCUUUGAUGGCACACUCCUCCUUAACAUGGAGACAAUUGUGGAUUAUACUAGGGAUGGCAGCGGAGCGGGUACCCUCGAAAAAGUGCAAUACCAGAACCAUUACCAUUUAAUAUAGCUCAAACCAUGACCAUACCAAACCCAUUUAAAAAGUUCAUGGAAAAACCAGAACCAUUACCGCGAAUAUCCGGGUACCCACGGGUACCCAUUUACCAUUUAAAUUACGGUAAUAAAAAAUUACUUUGGGUCCGAUAACGUAUAAGUAACUCUCAGAAAAGAGAAAGAAAAAAAGAAAAGAGAAAAAAAUAUAUCCUCCCUAAAUUAUUUAAUACUUUAUUGAAAAUUUUGCCAAAAUAUAUUUUUUAUUCAUAUUUUGUUGAAUAUAUAUAUAUAUAUAUAUAUAUUAAAUGGUCGGGUACCCAUGACCGUCAAGGUAAAACCAGAACCAUACCAAAACCAUUACCAAACCCUAAUGGUUUCGGUAACGGAUUUUAAACGGAGCGGAUACCCGCGGAUAGCUAGCGGUUCGGGUUUUUUUGCCAUCCCUAGAUUAUACUGCUACAGAAUGAUGUUAUAUUGCUAUGGAAGAGCAGCAUCAAACAAAUCCAAACCAUGGCGACUUAUAUUGUUUGACGAGGAAACAAAUAUUUAUAAACGAAAAAAAUAGCGGUUCAACAAAAUACUGGUGGGAAUACAACGAGACAGUAGAUCGUGAGAAAAAUUACUACAAUCAUGGGAAGUUUUAUUUCUGUUAACGGGAAUCUAGAAAAAACCGGGCAAAGAAUUUAAGAAGAAAUACUGCCAUUUUAUACGGACAAAUGUGACCCAAAUGAUUUAAAUCUUUCUCGGAUUCUUUUGGAGCAAGAGAAAGACAAUAUAUGAAAAAAUCAAGAAAAAUAAAUGGAAUAUAUAUCGUUUUUAAUAAAGAAUUAAAGUAAAAUGAGAGAAAACAAAAUCCUAUGGACUUUUCUUGGAGUGGAAGAAGGCGAAGGAUGUGAAUCCAUGUUAUCUGCAAACGAUUUUUAAUCUGCUCUUUCACACUUGCUUUUUUUCCUUUUGUCGUCAUCAUUGGCAGAAAAAACCUUAGGUGUUCAAGAUCUUUUGACAUUAUACAAACAUAAGGGAUCAAAUGAUGGUAAAUUAGCUAGAAUUCUAACGACUCCAACACCACCAACCACAUGCUGCAUAAAUCUGAAAUCCGCGAUAAAAGAAUUGAAUUCACAAAGCAAUUUCAUGAGAAAAAAUAGUGAAACUACAACAUAAACGAUCAUGACGCGAUAAUGAGAAGGACAAUAUUUAAAAAAAAAAAUAGCUACUACAAUCACAAAAAUUCCUACACCACAAAAACAGAAGCAAAUGAAAAAACUACCAUGCUUCCUUUAUUUUCUCUGUUUCACUUAUUAAUCAAGUAAAAACAUAGAUUCAUUUACAAAGGGCUGAACAAACUGCGAAAAAAUUAAAAUACUUAGAAACUCUCAAAAGGCCAACUGUCAAUACGCAACUCAGAAACGACAGAAAUUUCAGACGACUCCCCACCGAGGAAUUCAGUUAGGGUAAAGAAAUCGUAAAAUUAUUAGCAACUCAAAAAAAAUCCAAGGAAACCGACCUUUAGUUGAGAAAGAUGGCGCUCAUUAUUCGCAUGAAAACCCGUGGAAGAAGUCAAUAAUAUAGUGUAACGUAUCUUACAGUUAAUAAUGUUUAUCAGUAGGAUUGACUCUAUGUUUCCACCAUAUUCAUGCAAGAGAAAACUUUCUCCUUCGAUAACGACAAUUGAGAUACAAUUCCUGAAAUUGUCCGGCAAUUCAAGAACAAAGGCAACCACUUUCCCAGAGUUCAACUGCAUAAAAAUUAAAGGGGGAAACAAAAACCUAGUUUGUCUCGGAUCAGAAUUUCGUCAUUUAAAUAUAACGAAAACACAAUUCAUUCUAAUUGAGCAAACAAAAAUACACCAGUGAAUUAUCAGAUUAACAAACUCUCUCUCGAGAGAAGGUGUAAAAAUUUUACGACGAUUAACAAUCAAAUCUUUAUUUAUAUUUGAAGAAUAUAAUCGUGUGUCUGGAAGGAAUUGAGGUAGUUUUUCCUUUAAUAUGUGACAGUUUUUUUUUCUAUUCUUAUUUUUUUAAGGGUUAAUAUGCUAUAAGCCCCUCAAACGAAACCGAAUUUGAACUAAAUGACUAGUUCAAAUUCAUUUUUUUAAUUAAAUCCUUAAUUUCAAAUAAUAUAUGGGCCACAUCCCUAUUUUUUUUUAUAUCCCUAUAUUGCCCUUAUACCCUAAAUUAUAUAACAUACAUAUAUUCACGUUUCUCCAAUUCAAAUUUAUUUUUUCUCUCACGUUCUCUCUCUUCCCCCAUCUCUCACACGAUCUGCGGAUCGUUUUUCAAUUCCGUUUUUUUUUCUCGCUCUCUCUCACCUCUCCAUCCCCAUACACCUUUCUUGCUAAUUAAUUCAGUAGUAGCCGAGCCAAGGGUUGUGGUGGAAAGGGAGGCGGCGGGGGCUGUGGUGGAGGAGGAGGCGGCGGCGGCGGGUUGUGGUGGUUGAGAUGGCGGCGGCGGGGGCUAUGGUGGUUGAGUCGGCAUCGGCGAUUGUGGUGGUCUAGGCGGCGGGCUGUGGUGGUCGGGAUGGUGGCGGGGCUGUGGAGGAGGAGGCGGCGGCAGCGGGCUGUGGUGGUCCAGCCGGCGGGCUCUGGUGGUCGAGAUGGCGGCGAGGGGUUGUUGUGGUUGNNNNNNNNNNNNNNNNNNNNNNNNNNNNNNNNNNNNNNNNNNNNNNNNNNNNNNNNNNNNNNNNNNNNNNNNNNNNNNNNNNNNNNNNNNNNNNNNNNNNGGAGGUCCUCUAGGCUGAGGAACGUUCUGAUAAAUUAAAGUUGCUAUUAUAAUAUGUGUGUGUGUGUAUAUAUAUAUAUAUCUUUUCGGAAAAAAAAUGAACGAACUAAGCGGCUGGUGUUUAAUGCACUUAAUAUUGAUGAAGACCUAUAUGAAAUUUUUGGUAUGCAUUUUAAGAAGUGUUGCAGCAUAGAAUACUCAUCAUUUUUCAUCUUUAAUUUCUACUAAUAUAUAUAUAUAUAUAUAUAUAUAUAUAUAUAUAUAUAUAUAUAUAUAUAUAUAUAUAUAUAUAUAUAUAUAUAUAUAUAUAUAUAUAUAUAUAUAUAUAUAUAUAUAUAUAUAUAUAUAUAUAUAUAUAUAUAUUUUUUUAUUUUUUUAUAUAUAUAUAUAUAUAUAUAUAUAUAUAUAUAUAUAUAUUUAUAUAUAUAUAUAUAUAUAUAUAUAUAUAUAUAUAUAUAUAUAUAUAUAUAUAUAUAUAUAUAUAUAUAUAUAUAUAUAUAUAUAUAUAUAUAUAUAUAUAUAUAUAUAUAUAUAUAUAUAUAUAUAUAUAUAUAUAUAUAUAUAUAUAUAUAUAUAUAUAUAUAUAUAUAUAUAUAUAUAUAUAUAUAGAUUGAAUUAACAAAAACGAAAAACGAGUUUUGUUUUGUAAUUUUCAAUAAUAUCGUAGAUUUUUUUUAAUAAUAGUGUAAAAACGAUAGUACACCAUAGUACAACAUAGUACACCAUAGUAUACCAUAGUAUUUUUAAAAUUUGCUGAAUUAUUUAACAAAAAAGAAGAAAAAAAAACGUAAGUUUAAAUGUUAUAAAUAAGGAAAAAAAAUUGUUUAUAUAUAAUAACGUAAAAAAUGUGGAGUGAAAAUUGAAAAAAUAAAGAUGAAUGAAAGGGCAUUUUUGGAAUGAAUUUAAUAAAGGAUGUGAAGCAAAUGUUUAGUUGAGCUUGUCAUUUAAUUCUAAUUAGUUUUGUCACCAGGGACCUAUAUCUUAAGACCCCUUUUUUUAAUUACUUUUCUGCACCUUUUUUUUUUAACUAUUAUUCAGCACGUAUGAAGCAGAAAGUCAGUUUUUGCAAAUUUUUGUUUACCAAAAUAACCCUCGAGUUGCAAAGAUUUCACAAUAAUGGAAUUAGGGUUUCGGGAAAACCUUUCUUUUAUAUAUAUAAAUUAGAUUUUUGGCCCGGGAUUGAAGUAAAAUUAAUACAAAGUAAAGUUCAAUGUACACGACAAAAUUGAAGUUUCAAUUCAUUUUGAUAUUUUGCUAUAUACAUUGAUUAUAAUUCCCCAUCCAUUAACCAAUUUUGCCAUACUUAUUAAUUGAACUUUAUAUUUAUUAUGUAAUAUGGGUUGUAUAUUUAUCUUAUCUUAGUUUAUGUUGAAGUUUGACGAUUUUUUUUCCCACCCAUAAUGGGCUUCAGUAAAUUUACUGUAAAUCAAUGAUGCCAUUAAAUCUCAAGUGUUUUUGAGCAACAACUUUACUUUUAUUAAUAAGAUAAGAACCAAAUAUUUUUGUAAACAAUUAAAUAAUUUUUCCAUCAAAUUAAUAUUAAGUAAAAAUGACAAUUUUGGUGAGAAAAAAUACGUAAAUUUGGGCCGAAAAAGUCUGGAUACUUAACGGAUUUUAUUAAACUUGAUUAUAUUAAAUAUAUUAAAAUAAUAAAAUUGAUUAAUUAAAUAAAUGACAAUUAUAAUUUAUAACUAUCAAAUGAUUGGGAAAUUUUCAUAGGGUUUAGCAGGAACAACCUUACCUUUAUUAAUAAGAGAGCAACUUUACUUUUAUCAAUAAGUUUUAUAAUCAUAGUCGAGUUUAUUAAAUAGUAAUUGGAACAAUUAAAUAUAUUUACUUGUCCUUGUAGUCUAACACUUUCUUCAAAUCCGGAUUGAUCAAUAAGUUUGACACAUUCAAAGCAUUUGAUAAACCCCUUUUUCCUAAUUUUUAUGUGGGUGUGAAAUAAUCAACAAUAUAAUCUUACAAAAUAAAAUAAAACAAUUAUGGCUGAUCUAGGGUUUGGGGUUAAAAAAUACCUAAAUAAGUAUUGGUCCUAAAAAAUUGAAGGAUGACCACAAUAGGUCCAUUGUGAUCAUCUUUGAGAAGAUAUGCAUCCAUUAUUUCGGCAAAAGCUUCCCACAAAGUGCAUCUAAUAGUAUUUUUCCUGAAAAUUAAGUAUAUUGUUAUGAAUAACAUUAAGAGAUCAUCACACAACGAUCUAUAUUUUAAAUACUCUAAGAGGGUGUUUGGCUAAACUUAUUUUAAACAACUGAUAAGCUCUUACGUCUGAUAAGAUGUUUUAAGAGCUGAUAAGUUGUUACAUCUUAUUUUUAGGAUUAAUUUUUAGGGUAUUUGGAUAAUAGGCUUAUUUCCUAUUUUUACUUAUUAAAAGAUCUUAAAUAAAAAGGUGGGUAGAUGUACUUAUUUAAAAAGAUCUUAUUUGCUCUCCAACAACUUAUUUAAAAAAAAAUUAAGAUCUUUUUCUAAAAAAUUACCAAACACUUUGGAAGAACUUAUAAGCUCUAAAACAUCUUAUAAGCUCCUUUUAACAUCUUAUAAGCUUAGCCAAACACCCUCUAAAUCUUGGACGACAAUCUCCAAAAUCUUGUUUUUCUUGUGCUUGUCCUUUAUAUUGAUCUCCUUUAUAGGGCUUUCUCAACCACGUGGCCAAUUAUAUCUGCAACAUUAAAUAACUUAGCAAGUCAAAGGAAAACACAUCAAAAUUUAAUGAUAUAAUCAAUAUAAAAUUAGUAGACUAAUAUGAGUAGUUACAUACCAAACAGUAAGCUCUCAUCCACGUUCUGUUUGAUUGUGUCAAACGUAGCAAACUUAAAAUGGGUUGAUGGAAUCUUAUCGACUGAUGUUUCGAUAACUUUUGUACAUCCCAUAAAGUUCAGUCUAAACUUAUGUGUUGUUGCUCUGAAGCCACCAUUUGAAUCAACCACAAAGAAAUUCUUUACAAAUAUAGCUGGUGCCUUCUUUUAUCAACUCUUAAUACCUAUGAAUGAGCAUUUUUUUAUCCUAGCAUGAAUCUGCACACCCUGAGAUAAAUGUCAGACAGAUAGUUAUGUUUUGAAUACUCGAAACAUAAAUAUAUAAAAAAUAAACAUAAUAAAAAAAUAUAAAAGCACAUUCACCUCCUCAUCAAUAAAAACCAUUUCGAUGCCAACAUUCUCUUUCGGAUUCCACUUAUCUGGUACGAACCACAGACGUAUAACCCGAACCAAUAUAAUCCAAUCAGUCUUUUUGCCCGAAACAAUUUCGUGAAUGAAGGACGUGCUCGUAACCAUGUUUGCUAUUUCUGAUAAAGAACACAAAAACAUAUUACAAAAAAGAAUUAAAUUAUUAUAAAGAACACAAAAAAAUAUAAAACAUGGAAUUAAAUUAUGAUAAAGAACACAAAAAAUAUUAAAAAAAAAACAAAAGAAGAAGAAGGAACUAAUCUAAUACUUUAGAAGAAUCAGACAAAGAAAGAGGAAUUGUACAUUAAUCUGGCAAAACAUAUUAAAAAAAAAAAAAAGGAAUUGUAUUCUGCUAAAAAAUACAAAAAAAUGUUAUAAAAAUAUUGAAUCUAAAUUAUCCGACGAAUGGAGAUGAGAUGAUAUCUAGCGCAGUAGAACGAUCUAUGCCCCUAUUGUUUUUAGAAUGGAGAAAAAUAAAAAAAAUUGAACAAAUUAAAUGUUACAUAGGGUUUUUGGAAAAUUCGAGAUAUAUAAACAUUAACAAACUCAUCAUAUCCUGUUACUUCUGCGAUUAAUCGACAAACCACACAAAACUGACAUAGGAUUUUUGGAAAACUCCAGAUAUAUAAACAUUAACACAUUCAGCAUAUCCCGUUUCGACAAAUCACACAAAACUGGGAAAAAUGGAUGAAAUUUAUUGGAUCGAAUUAAAUCCAGAAAAUUUGAGAUUGAAGAGAUUCCAAAAAUAAUAAAGAGGUGGUAGGUUGAUGAACAAACUUACCUUUUGACUAAUGGAGUUAACUUUUGCAAAGAGAAAGAUACCCACAGAGAAGUGGAAAAAUGAUAUAAAUAGGUAUUUAAGAAAGACAUAGGAGAGGCGAGUGUACAGAGAAGAGAUGGAGAAAGAUAAGUAUCGUAUGAGAUAUGUAUGCAUAGUUACAUUUGGGGAGAAAAAUAUGAGAAAAGAAGUAGGUGAGGCGGGUUGGAUUUUAGAGAGAUGUAGAUUUGGGGUAGAAAUUUGGAGAAAGAGAACCUGACUUGAAGAAGGAUAUAUGGAUUCGGUGUGAAGAAAAGAUUUGGAUAAUUCGGAGUACGAAGAGCCGUGAAGAUGAAGUGGAGUGGGUGGAGCACAAUUCACCAUGGGAUUAGUUAUGUGUGGCUGGAUUUGCGCAAAUUUUGGCAGAGUUGGUUGGGGUUGGCCGGAUCCGGUGGUGGUGGUCGAAUAAGGAUGGUGGGUUGCCAAAUUUGAGGAAGAAGAAAUUGUGAGAUAAUGACGGGGAAAAAAAAUCUCACACAAAAAUGAAGAAUAUGGACAUAGAUGCUAGAUUUGUAAAGAAGAACAAAAAAAAAAGGAAAAAAGAACCGUGAGGGAGAUGAAGUGCAGAGGAGAGAGAAGAAAAGUGGGGGUCAUGAGAAAGAAGAUGUAAAACAAUAAACAACAAUAAACAGUAGACACGGUAAAUUUUAGAACUAAUAAAUGAAAAUUGAAAUAAUAAAAUAAUAAAAGUAAGAAACAAACAAUAAAAGUAAAAAAUAAUUAAAUGAGAACAAAUAAAAGUAAAAAGUAUUAAAUGACAAAUAUAGCCAUAAAAUGAGUGGGAAAGAAACUCUAUGGUUUCACCAGAACAACCUUACUUUUAUUAAUAAUAACUAGUACUUUACAAUAUUAUAAAAAAAGAAAAAAAGUACAGAUUAAUGUACAAUAAUAGAAAAUAUAAUAAUAUAAACAAACCAAAAUUAAUAAAGGUCACGUUUCAAAAUCAACAAAACAAAAUAAAGCAUAUCCAUUCAUUUCUUUUUGAAUUUUGUCAUCAAUAAUUUGGGGCUGGAUAUUUGAAUAACUCCUUCAUCUGAUCUAUCUUACGUAUCAAAAACAUCUCCAUUUAUCUUUUUCAUUGAUUUGCUUCAAGGAUUUGCAUCAUUGUGAGAGGAAAUAAAAUCCUAAAAAAGUAAAUAAAAGAAAUUUGAAGUAUAAAACAUGAUCUUCAUACAACAAAUAUCAUAAUAUUGAGAUUAUGUGCAUUGAGAAUAUACAAUGAAUUGAAUUCCAUCAUUAAAAUAGCCUGUUAGCAAAAGGGGAAAAAAUAUAAGAGAAGCAUAACUUGAUCGUAGAACUAUUCCAUGCAUUUUUCAAAAGAAUCAAUUAACAACAAAUACUACUUGAACGGACUAAUUCGCAGUUUCGCACGCCAUCUACAUGAACAAUAAUCAUUACAAAAACUGAUUUAACAAAUUUCAAAAAAGACUCACACUGAUGAAAGCUCAUAAGAGAUCCAACUUCAGAACGAAAUACUCCAAUUAAUUAGGGGGUAAGUAUAACAAAUCCCAACUUUUGCUUACUUGAAUACUACCAAGUUUAAAACCAUAAUUGAGUACAUAUUUAUAAGUUUUUUCUUACUUUAAUAUCAAAAUAAAAAGAAAAGUACAAAAACACCAUUUCAUACAAAAUAUCAAUUAUAUCAAAAAAAAAUUGAAAUUACCUAUUUUAAAACCAAAUAUAUAAAAAAAAACCCUUCUUUCAAAUUCCCUCCACCGCUGCUCCUCCUCUCCACCGUCGUUCACCGCUGCUGCAACCCUCGCCGCCGCCGCCAAAACCUCCAUUGUUAUCAAGCCGCCGCCGCCUUUGUUAUACAAGUAAUAUUUGUUUUCAAUUUUUUUUCUUUAAUAUUUAUUUAGGAUUUGACUGUUUGAUAUGGAUAAUUAGGAUUUGAUUGUUUUAGGUAGGAAUGAUCGUUAAUUAGUAAUGGAAGCAUCUAGUUUCAGUCGAUUUGAGCAUUCAUUUGAGAUUCGUGGGUCAUUCUUCGUUCACAAAAAUCGACCUGUAUAUGUCGAUUUUUGCAAAAUUUUCGACAGAUUGAUGUCGAAAAUUAUGCAAAAAUCGACAUAUAGUUGUCGAUUUUUGUGAAAUUCUCAAGACGUUCUUAGAUUUUCAGCCCUAAUAUUUCUCAACCAACCGCCUCUCCGCUACCUCCACCACCUCCAUCGCCGCUCCUCGCCGCCGCACGCCGCUCGCCGCCGUCAAUAGCAUCAACUCCGGUCGCCGCUAGCCCACUCCGCUCACCGUUCACUUCCACCGUCUCUCUCUCGACAUGUUUAUUUGAGCUGAUUAGGUGCUCUAUUUUUUUUUUUUUUUUUAUGAGAGAGACCAUAAUAUGCGAAAUGCUACGAAUUUUAGAUCAAACCGCCAAUGACUCCUCACCUCAAUCGCUUCCUAUCAAAGCCCUAGCUGCCGCUAAUCACCCAAGGUUCCGCGCUCACAAAUGAAAAAAAAUUAUAGAAAUAAAUCUGACAAGAUAGAAAAGAACGAAAUUACCAUAAAAAUAUAGAUCUCGAUGAGAGGAAUCCAACAGUGCAAAUUCCGACUGGCGGAACAGAAAAUACAAUUCCGGCAAGACCCACCGUCGUCGAAUGAAAAACAAUUGCAGAAACAGAUCCAGCGCUCCAAACUGAAUGAAAUUACCACAAAAAUAUGCAUCUCGAUGAGAGGAAUCCAACGGUGGGUAGCCCGUCAAAUUCCGACUGGUGGAUAACAAAAUACACAUCCGGCAAGACCCACUGUCGUCGAGAUACGCGUCGACUGAAAGACAAUUACAGAAACAGAUCCAGCGCUCCAUACUGAAUGAAAUCACCACCAAAAGAAAGAGCUCGAGGAGAGGAAUCCAACGGUAGUUAAACCAUCGAAUUCCGACCACCGGAGAGAGAUUUAUGACUUCGGGAAGCAACUUUGCCGGUUGGAGAUCUAUGGAGGCUUGAUUUGAAUCUGAGAGUUGAGAGAGGAAGAGAGAGACGACCGUGAGUGGCUAUGGUUUAAAACUAAUUUUAAAAGGGCAUUUUAGGUACUUUAGGGUGGGCUAGGGGGUCUGUCAGAUUAAUUUCAAAAUAGAAAAGAUAUGCACGAGUAUGUAAUUAGAUUGGUGGUUACUUAUAUAUAAUUUCCAUAUGAGGGGAUUUCUGAAAUAAUCCCUUCUCUUUUAUAGGGAGGAAAAAAAUGAAGAAAUCAAGAACAGAGCGAGGACUCUCCCAAAUUCCGAUUAAAAUAAAAAGGAAAAAGAAAGAGAUAAGAAAAUGACACAAAUAUCUCAGCUUAAAUCACAUGUUACGAAUUCCGGCCAUUUUUGGGCAAAUAUGGUCAAAUUCAAUAUCUUAGCAACAAAAAAUGAAGUUGAGGGAUGAUCGUGCAAAAAAAAAAUGUUUGGGGGGGCAAAAUGCAAAAAAAACCAAAGUACAUGGGCAAAGUGCACUUAACCCUUAUAUUAAUACUCAAACUAUCAAUAUUUUCAGAACCGGAGCGAACACGAAACCGGUUAUACAUUUGGGUCACGGUUGGACCGGUUCAACCGGGGUCGACCCGGGUUUUUUAAUUUUAAAUUAUUUAUUUAUAAUUUUAAAUUAAUUAUCUUAAUAUAAAUUAAAACAUAUUCCGAUCCUUAACUAUCAACAUAAAAUUAAUUCUUUAUUUUAUUUAUUAAUUAUAUAAUCAUAUUUGAAACACAAAGAAAAUUAAUUCUACAAUAUAAAUGAUAAUUAAUUAAUUAUUUAAUAAUAGAAUCAAUAUAAAUUACUAACCCAAACCCUAAUUUAGUUCUUUGUGACGUCUCUUCAUCUUUUGCCUCUUUUUCAUUCCAUUCAACAAUGGUGCUUCCCCUUCCCAACUAAAUACACAUAAUCAAAUCUUUCACUAAAUCUGCAGCAAAUCGGAAAACCAAACAUUAUUCCCCAUUCGUUUCAUCUGUUCCCUUUAUAUUUUGAUAUUGAAUCCGGUUUACCCCNNNNNNNNNNNNNNNNNNNNNNNNNNNNNNNNNNNNNNNNNNNNNNNNNNNNNNNNNNNNNNNNNNNNNNNNNNNNNNNNNNNNNNNNNNNNNNNNNNNNNNNNNNNNNNNNNNNNNNNNNNNNNNNNNNNNNNNNNNNNNNNNNNNNNNNNNNNNNNNNNNNNNNNNNNNNNNNNNNNNNNNNNNNNNNNNNNNNNNNNNNNNNNNNNNNNNNNNNNNNNNNNNNNNNNNNNNNNNNNNNNNNNNNNNNNNNNNNNNNNNNNNNNNNNNNNNNNNNNNNNNNNNNNNNNNNNNNNNNNNNNNNNNNNNNNNNNNNNNNNNNNNNNNNNNNNNNNNNNNNNNNNNNNNNNNNNNNNNNNNNNNNNNNNNNNNNNNNNNNNNNNNNNNNNNNNNNNNNNNNNNNNNNNNNNNNNNNNNNNNNNNNNNNNNNNNNNNNNNNNNNNNNNNNNNNNNNNNNNNNNNNNNNNNNNNNNNNNNNNNNNNNNNNNNNNNNNNNNNNNNNNNNNNNNNNNNNNNNNNNNNNNNNNNNNNNNNNNNNNNNNNNNNNNNNNNNNNNNNNNNNNNNNNNNNNNNNNNNNNNNNNNNNNNNNNNNNNNNNNNNNNNNNNNNNNNNNNNNNNNNNNNNNNNNNNNNNNNNNNNNNNNNNNUUUAAUAUAAAUUCUUGGAUGACUAUUACCCAUCCAGCUGAUUUAUUUGCCAUUCGAGUCAUGUAGACACGGUCACGGGCCGGUUCGGGCCGGUUCCGGGCCGGUUCGGACCGGUUCACGGUUCACAUUUUCUGGAACCGGAACCGGCCCGUGGCGUGCACGGUUCACCGGGCCGGUUCACGGGCCUAUCCGGGUCGGCCCGGAAAUUUUGAAUUUUUUUUUUUUUUGUUUUUUUUUUUUGAAAUAUUUAAUGAAUAAGUAAAUUAAAAGAAAUACUUUUAAAUAGAUAAAGGAAAAGGAAAUAAAUGAAAAGUCAAUUUAGAAGCACAAGUUUGAAAUAUUUGAUGAAUAAGUAAAUUAUAUGAAAAAUUGGGGUGUGAGGGUAUUUAUAGGAAAAAUUGGGGGGUUGGGGGCAAAAAAAAUUCAAAAAAAAACAAAAUUGGGGUGUGACGGUAUUUAUAGGAAAAAUUAGGGGGGAAAAAAAUUCAAAAAACUUCAAAAAAAAAUAAAUAACGGCCGGUUCACCCGAGCCGGUUCACUAGUCGUUAUUUGCUUUUUUUUUGAAUUUUUUUGAAUAUUUUUUUUUUUUUAAAUCCGGGUGAACCGCCGGGCCGGCCCGGCGGUUCACGGUUCACCAAAUCUAAGAACCGGGCCCGUCCCGGGUAGGACGGGCCGGUUCACAGUUCCGGGCCGGUUCACACGGUCAACGGGCCGGUUUGAGCCGUCAACGGGCCGGUUCCGGGCCCAAAACCGGCCCGUGGCCGUGUCUAGAGUCAUGAAAGAAAAUUCAUUGGUGCAGAGGCUAAUACAGAUGUUGCACUUUGCUCUGGGGGCUAAUACAGAGGUUGAAAUUAUGCGGGCCAUCAAUCUCAUUAUCAGAGUCUAAUUUGGGCAUUGGUGGUCGAUCAUCCGAAAGAGUGGACGAUCUUUCCAAGCUAGAAUUGUUGUUCUUUGGUUGGGGAAGAAAGUUUAGAAUUUUAGUAGAUAGUCAUUUGUCUUUACGGUUAUAUAAACUUUGUAGAUUUUUUUAGAAUUUCUGAGACUAUUGAAGGACUACACGGUAACAUUUCAUUUCAGUGGUGUGAGCCACGAAACAAAAGACAUGAUUACAGAAGAAGUGUCUGUGAGUAAAUAAUUAGCCGAAAAUCCUUAGAUAAAUGUCGAGAAAGAGAAUUAGGCAAUCGAACUAGCAAGAUAGAAGAACAAUUUUCUAUAGCGGUCUCUUUUGGAGUUUAGUCUAUCCAAUAGAUAUUUAAAUCAUAGUGUCAUAUCUCAUAUAUCAACAUUUCUUCUUUUGUAGGAGAAUGCUAAUCAACUUCGGGGGGAGAAAGCUUCUUCAUCAAUUCAGGGUUUUGUGGGCUUAAUCUUGGUACUAAUCAUCAUUUUGUUGAAUGUUAAUGACUUCAAUUUUCAAUGGUUAAGGUUGUUAGUUAUGUUGAGAGUUGUAUUAAUUUAGUAAUUUUGGUGAUCUCUAACAAUUUUUAGCUAGUACUUUUUUUUUUCUAUUGUCAAUUCAAGACCUAACUACAUGAGUCAUUUCUUCCCUUUUUCCUUAAAAUGUGCUCUAUAGUGGAUUCUCCCACAAUAAUUGAGUAAACUGCAAAAACUACCCCUGUGUUAUCUCGAAAUAGCGAAAACCCCCCUGUGAUAAAUAAACUAGCAAAAACCCCCCUGUGAAAUUUAGUCAAAGGCAGAAUCCCCCCUAGCUGAUUUUUUAGACUUGAAAUGACAAAAUUGUCCCUCAAAAUGUAUUUAUAUAUAUACAUAUUAUAUGUAUAUUUAUUCUUUUUAAUUUGUUUGUUUAGAAAUUAAAAAAAAUAGUAAACAACUAGAAUUGAUUAUUUUUUAAAUAAAAUAAUUAAAAUAUUUAUAAGUAUUCUUUAUGCAAAAAAUUACAUAAAACUAGACUGUUUAUCACCAAUAUCAAAUAUUUGUAUGAGUAAAACUACAAUUAGCACUACGAACAAACCAUAAGAUAACAUGCAACAUAAAUCAUAGUCAUCUUAUAAAUCAAAAGUUAAGAUUUAAUUUAAAAUCUUACAUGAAGCACUCAAGUCUUACUUCCAAAGCAAACAUUUAAAAUAAUUCUCACAUCAAAAUCAAAUAUUUAAAGUUAGGGGUCAUUAGCAAUAAACCCCUCAUAUAGAUAAUAAAUGGUGAUAUGUCCACCCCUUCAAUCUUUCUUUGUGAUAGCCCCUAGAAUUUGUAUUUCCCAAUUGUACCCUUAUGUCAAUUAGGAUAAUUAGUCUCAAUUAUUCCUUUUUUCUCUCUUUCCAUGACAAUAAUCUAAUUCCUAAAAAUCUCCUUCUAAAUUCCUAAAAAUCUCCUUCCAAAUUCCUAAAAAUUUGCUACCAAAUCAAAAAAAAAAUUAUUUUUUAUUAUUUUCGGAUUUUUUAGCCAUUUUUCAUUUAUUUUUAUUUUUUAAUAAUUUUUUUACUAAAAAAAUAAUUUUUUUUUAAUUUUUUUUAAACGAAAAAUUGAAUUUUUUUUUUCUUGACAGAUUUACAACUCCGAAUAUGACUAUAGUUAAACAUGACUAUAUGUGACUAUAUAGACAUAUUAUUUUUUAUAUUGCAUUUUUUUAUAUUUUCAACUUAAAAAUUUCGAUUAUAUAAUGUGGUAUAGUCAUGUUUACCAAAUUAUAUAAAACAAAGAAGAUUGCCCUAUUGUUUACGAAAACAAUCCAAUCAAAAUUCACACAAAAAAUACAAAUUUUGAAUCUAGUUAUUCGAAUAUGACUACAAUCAUAUUCGAAAAAUACAUAAAUAUGACCAUAGUCAUAUUCGAACAUGACUAUAGUCCUGUUAUGAAUUUUUUUUUGAAAAAUACAUAAAGAUAGAAAAAUACGAAAGAGAGUCAUGGGGAGUCGACGACAACGGCGAUGGUGCCGGUGGUGAAGUAAAGAGAGUGAGAGAGGCGGCGACGGUGGUGGUGGUGGGGGACAAAUCUGGAAAAAUGAGAAAGAUAACGAAAAAGAGAGAAAGAGUCUUACGUGGAAACGAAUGAGGAGGCAGCGGCAACGAGCAUGGUUGUGUACAAAUUUAUGUGGAGACGAUGGUGGCGUAAAGAGAGAGAAAUCGAGAAAAACAACGAACACGAGAAAUAAAUAAAUCACUAAUCGAGUAAAUCAACAAUAGUCAUAUUUGAACCAGAGUAGUCACGUUGAUGCUGAUGUUUCAGAUUUGGAGAGAAAAAAAAAGAAAAAAAUCGAAAAAACCUGGGGAGGCGACGACAACGACGGUGAAUGACAGAGAGAGUGGGGACGUGGCUACGGUGGCGGUGGUGGACAAAUCUGGGAAAAAAAAGAAAAAAAAAAAAAGAAAAAAUCAAGAGAAAAGGAAAAAGGGAAAUCUCCAUGUAACGCAUCCGACGAAGGGCGGCGACGAGGUUGGGGAGGCACCGCCACCACCACUUGUACGGAGGAGGGCCUCCUGCAUUAGGUUUCGGUCGACCGGAGGUUGAAAGGUAUUUUUUACUCCGACGGUGACGAGUGCACGAACAACGGUGGCUAUGGUGAGUGGACUACGGCGGUGGUGUGAAAACGACGAAGGAGGGCGCCGCGGUACUGGAGAAAGACAGAAANNNNNNNNNNNNNNNNNNNNNNNNNNNNNNNNNNNNNNNNNNNNNNNNNNNNNNNNNNNNNNNNNNNNNNNNNNNNNNNNNNNNNNNNNNNNNNNNNNNNAACCUAAUCACAUAAGGGCACUUUAGUCAUAUCAUGUCUGGUUAGGGGUGUCUCACUAAGUAAGAAUGAAACUUAGGUGUAGGCAAAAGUCUCUAAUAGUCAAUUGAGUUUAGUUCAAAAUAUUUUAAUUUGAGGGGUAUUGCAUAUUUCCCCUUAAAGUUAAUAGUAAAUGCAUGUAAAAGACAAUAAAACUAAAGUCUUAUGUUUUUUUUUAAGAUUAAAACCUACUAUUGUUUAAUUGUUGAGUUGUAUUAGGCUAUUAGUUAGGGCAGAAAUUAAAUCGUAAUUGAUUUCUUGUGAUACAUGGAAAAAAAUUCUCACGUUACAACUUCCCUUUUUUGUUUUUUUUUUUCUCUGUGCACAAAACGACGUCGUUUUAAUGUUUUUUCUGGGAAUUAAUUAAAAAUGCGCGUUCAGCCAAAAAACCAUUUUUAUCGGUUUUCGGUCGGACCGAUCAAAAAACCGAUUUUUAACAAUUGAACCGAUUUUUUGUAAUUUUCGGGUUUAUAGUGCUAACCGGACCGGUUCGCGGUUGAACCGGUCGAACCGGCCGGUUCGGUCCGAUUUUCAAAACAUUGGUUUUUUCUAUGAUAUCAUAUAUGAUUUAUAACUUAAACUGCAUAUUUAUUUGAUAAAUUAUUCUCUCGACCUUUUAUGAUUAUCUCGCAAGUCCUAACUUUAUUGACAAAAGAACACUUGCGAAAAAUCCUAAAAAAUCACCGCUCACUUCAAGAUUAUUUUUGUGGACUUGACUAUGGUGAGAUAAUCUGUGUUCUAAACUUAUAUGAGAUAUGCAUUAAUCACCAUUAAUUUUAUAAGGUUAAAUCUGGACCCUAGGAAAAUAAUAUGUCUUAUAUUCUAAAAAAUGAAAUAGUUUACCAAAUUAUCCUUCGAUUAUUUUUUUAAUCAAACCAAUAUAAAAUAGAUUAAUAUUGAAUUGUCUAAGUUACCCCCGAUGAUAUUUUACUGAAAUAAUUAAUUUAAAUCUGUUUUAAAUAUACAGUAUUAUUUUACAUAAUUACCCUUAAUCAAUAUUUUUCUAAAUAAGGACAUUAUUAAUUAAAAUAAUUAUGUUUGACCUCUUAAUUAUCUGCAUCACAUGUCACAAAAUGUAUUUACUUAAAAUUGAGAAUUUAACUAGAAUCCUAACACGAAUUUAUUAGGAUCCUAAUUAUAUAUGCAUUACAAUUUUUACGGAUUAAUUUGUCGAUGUAAAUUGUUUAUCAAAAAAAAAAGUCAAUUUAACUAUAAUUUAACAAGAACCCUAAUUACGAAUCCGCAUAACCUGAAUUACAAAUAAAUCCAUAGGGCAACCUAGAAUCACAAUUAGACGACCUUCGAUCUUUAAUACAAUAUGAAUAUGGGAUUAAAGUAAGAAAACUAUUAAGGGUUUCAACCAAAACCUUAAUUAUUGAAAUACAAGUAAUAUACCUAAUUCUUCGGAAUUAGACAUCCUUAAAUAAGCUUAUUCUGAAGAAAUAGUGUAACGAUGCACCAAUUCGAAUUUGUAGCAAAGUAAGAAUAAAUUAAAGGGUCGAAAAAAAAUGAUGAAUAACUGAAUUGAUCGUAAAACCGUAAGACCAGAUUUCUAAGAUGAAGAUGGAGAACUUAUUUGAUUUGAUGAGAGAUUAGGGAUAUAUCAGCAUUAUUAGAAAAUAAUAUCGAUUAGUUUUUUUAUCAUGUUUGUGUAUAAGAUUAUUAUGAACAUUCAAAAAAACAGUAAUAAAUUAAUUAAAAUUCCAUUAAAAUAGAGAGAGUAAAAUUGACAUUUCAUUAAUAAUUUAUAAUUGCCGAUUUUUUUAAAAUAAUAAUUGCACAAAGAGUAUUUUGCAACAAUAGAUUGUGUUGCUGGGACACGUGUAUCCAAUCGCCGCCGCCUCCACCACCGCCGUGCCCUCUUCCUCUCUCGUCCAAUUCACCUCCGUAAGAUCUACAUACCUCCACAAAACCUUCAAAUUGAACCACCUAACAAACAGAAUCCUAAAAAAACCAUCCACCUUCUCAAAUUUAACCCUAACAAAAACCCGCAGCAGCAGCAGCAGCAGUUCCCAAUUAACCACCCAUUCCGAGAAACCCUCCAACAGCGAUUGGGAAUUUCCGGACGAAGUAAUCGGAGAAGAAGAUGAAGACGAGGGAUGCCCCUGGGAAGGCGCGAUUUUGUACAGGCGAAACGCCGCCGUUUCGCAUUUGGAGUACUGCACUACUCUCGAGAGGCUAGGGUUAGGAAAAGUAUCCUCGGAAUUCUCGAAGAACCGGGAUUCGGAGAUGGGGUUGCGCGUGGUGAAAUCCGUUAAGGAUUUUCC
rnacentral:lncRNA from 1 species